UACAGAGGUCCCAAGCGCUGUUCGGAUUUAUUGGGCGUAAAGGGUGCGUAGGCGGCGGAGUAAGUUGGGUGUGAAAUCCCGGGGCUCAACCUCGGAAUUGCAUUCAAUACUGCUUCGCUCGAGUACUGGAGAGGAGACUGGAAUUUACGGUGUAGCAGUGAAAUGCGUAGAUAUCGUAAGGAAGGCCGGUGGCGAAAGCGAGUCUCUGGACAGUUACUGACGCUGAGGAGCGAAAGCGUGGGGAGCGAACAGG
rnacentral:rRNA from 1 species